GGUUGGGCGUAAGCUUCAAGGAUCGAGCUUUUCAAGGGGUGAGAAAAGC
rfam:Enterococcus canis strain DSM 17029 Scaffold3, whole genome shotgun sequence.